GAUUGCAACACCUGUGACACUAAAACAAUAUUACUUUGAAAGAUAAAAUCAUGUAAUGUCUAUACUAGAAGUUACAGUGCUCAACAGAAAAGGAUUCAAGCAGCUACAUGAACCUUACCUUGAGUAACUGAUACUAGUUUGCUGUGCAGCCCUGGAUACAGUUUCCAGUAUUUCUGUGACCUUGGGAUUGUUAUGUUAUAAAUUUCUUAAACGGCAACCUGGAUCCCAUUCAAUCAGGAAAAGCAACUACAACCUUCAGAUGCCCUACGAACUGCUAAUGCAUUCCCGGCAAUGGUAUUGCUUAUCUAGGCUCACCUGAUGUACUAACAAGAUACACAGCACAAAGAUAGCUGUCCACUUCCCAGGCUGUAGACUCAUGGUGCUGGCUGACUCUGAAAGGCCAGGUGCGGUGGUAAGAAAGCAUCUUGCUUCAUGC